CAGUCGCCGCGGUAAUACGUAGGUGGCAAGCGUUAUCCGGAAUUAUUGGGCGUAAAGCGCGCGUAGGCGGUUUUUUAAGUCUGAUGUGAAAGCCCACGGCUCAACCGUGGAGGGUCAUUGGAAACUGGAAAACUUGAGUGCAGAAGAGGAAAGUGGAAUUCCAUGUGUAGCGGUGAAAUGCGCAGAGAUAUGGAGGAACACCAGUGGCGAAGGCGACUUUCUGGUCUGUAACUGACGCUGAUGUGCGAAAGCGUGGGGAUCAAACAGGAUUAGAUACCCCAGUAGUCCCUGUCUCUUAUAC
rnacentral:rRNA from 1 species